AGAUUAAGUUAUUAAGGGCGCACGGUGGAUGCCUUGGCACUAGAAGCCGAUGAAGGACGUUACUAACGACGAUAUGCUUUGGGGAGCUGUAAGUAAGCUUUGAUCCAGAGAUUUCCGAAUGGGGAAACCCAGCAUGAGUUAUGUCAUGUUAUCGAUAUGUGAAUACAUAGCAUAUCAGAAGGCACACCCGGAGAACUGAAACAUCUUAGUACCCGGAGGAAGAGAAAGAAAAUUCGAUUCCCUUAGUAGCGGCGAGCGAAACGGGAAGAGCCCAAACCAACAAGCUUGCUUGUUGGGGUUGUAGGACACUCUAUACGGAGUUACAAAGGACGACAUUAGACGAAUCAUCUGGAAAGAUGAAUCAAAGAAGGUAAUAAUCCUGUAGUCGAAAAUGUUGUCUCUCUUGAGUGGAUCCUGAGUACGACGGAGCACGUGAAAUUCCGUCGGAAUCUGGGAGGACCAUCUCCUAAGGCUAAAUACUCUCUAGUGACCGAUAGUGAACCAGUACCGUGAGGGAAAGGUGAAAAGCACCCCGGAAGGGGAGUGAAAUAGAACCUGAAACCGUGUGCUUACAAGUAGUCAGAGCCCGUUAAUGGGUGAUGGCGUGCCUUUUGUAGAAUGAACCGGCGAGUUACGAUUUGAUGCAAGGUUAAGCAGUAAAUGUGGAGCCGUAGCGAAAGCGAGUCUGAAUAGGGCGUUUAGUAUUUGGUCGUAGACCCGAAACCAGGUGAUCUACCCUUGGUCAGGUUGAAGUUCAGGUAACACUGAAUGGAGGACCGAACCGACUUACGUUGAAAAGUGAGCGGAUGAACUGAGGGUAGCGGAGAAAUUCCAAUCGAACCUGGAGAUAGCUGGUUCUCUCCGAAAUAGCUUUAGGGCUAGCCUCAAGUGAUGAUUAUUGGAGGUAGAGCACUGUUUGGACGAGGGGCCCCUCUCGGGUUACCGAAUUCAGACAAACUCCGAAUGCCAAUUAAUUUAACUUGGGAGUCAGAACAUGGGUGAUAAGGUCCGUGUUCGAAAGGGAAACAGCCCAGACCACCAGCUAAGGUCCCAAAAUAUAUGUUAAGUGGAAAAGGAUGUGGCGUUGCCCAGACAACUAGGAUGUUGGCUUAGAAGCAGCCAUCAUUUAAAGAGUGCGUAAUAGCUCACUAGUCGAGUGACACUGCGCCGAAAAUGUACCGGGGCUAAACAUAUUACCGAAGCUGUGGAUUGUCCUUUGGACAAUGGUAGGAGAGCGUUCUAAGGGCGUUGAAGCAUGAUCGUAAGGACAUGUGGAGCGCUUAGAAGUGAGAAUGCCGGUGUGAGUAGCGAAAGACGGGUGAGAAUCCCGUCCACCGAUUGACUAAGGUUUCCAGAGGAAGGCUCGUCCGCUCUGGGUUAGUCGGGUCCUAAGCUGAGGCCGACAGGCGUAGGCGAUGGAUAACAGGUUGAUAUUCCUGUACCACCUAUAAUCGUUUUAAUCGAUGGGGGGGGNNNNNNNNNNNNNNNNNNNNNNNNNNNNNNNNNNNNNNNNNNNNNNNNNNNNNNNNNNNNNNNNNNNNNNNNNNNNNNNNNNNNNNNNNNNNNNNAUGGGGGGGACGCAGUAGGAUAGGCGAAGCGUGCGAUUGGAUUGCACGUCUAAGCAGUAAGGCUGAGUAUUAGGCAAAUCCGGUACUCGUUAAGGCUGAGCUGUGAUGGGGAGAAGACAUUGUGUCUUCGAGUCGUUGAUUUCACACUGCCGAGAAAAGCCUCUAGAUAGAAAAUAGGUGCCCGUACCGCAAACCGACACAGGUAGUCAAGAUGAGAAUUCUAAGGUGAGCGAGCGAACUCUCGUUAAGGAACUCGGCAAAAUGACCCCGUAACUUCGGGAGAAGGGGUGCUCUUUAGGGUUAACGCCCAGAAGAGCCGCAGUGAAUAGGCCCAAGCGACUGUUUAUCAAAAACACAGGUCUCUGCUAAACCGUAAGGUGAUGUAUAGGGGCUGACGCCUGCCCGGUGCUGGAAGGUUAAGAGGAGUGGUUAGCUUCUGCGAAGCUACGAAUCGAAGCCCCAGUAAACGGCGGCCGUAACUAUAACGGUCCUAAGGUAGCGAAAUUCCUUGUCGGGUAAGUUCCGACCCGCACGAAAGGCGUAACGAUUUGGGCACUGUCUCAACGAGAGACUCGGUGAAAUCAUAGUACCUGUGAAGAUGCAGGUUACCCGCGACAGGACGGAAAGACCCCGUGGAGCUUUACUGUAGCCUGAUAUUGAAAUUCGGCACAGCUUGUACAGGAUAGGUAGGAGCCUUUGAAACGUGAGCGCUAGCUUACGUGGAGGCGCUGGUGGGAUACUACCCUAGCUGUGUUGGCUUUCUAACCCGCACCACUUAUCGUGGUGGGAGACAGUGUCAGGCGGGCAGUUUGACUGGGGCGGUCGCCUCCUAAAAGGUAACGGAGGCGCUCAAAGGUUCCCUCAGAAUGGUUGGAAAUCAUUCAUAGAGUGUAAAGGCAUAAGGGAGCUUGACUGCGAGACCUACAAGUCGAGCAGGGUCGAAAGACGGACUUAGUGAUCCGGUGGUUCCGCAUGGAAGGGCCAUCGCUCAACGGAUAAAAGCUACCCCGGGGAUAACAGGCUUAUCUCCCCCAAGAGUUCACAUCGACGGGGAGGUUUGGCACCUCGAUGUCGGCUCAUCGCAUCCUGGGGCUGUAGUCGGUCCCAAGGGUUGGGCUGUUCGCCCAUUAAAGCGGUACGCGAGCUGGGUUCAGAACGUCGUGAGACAGUUCGGUCCCUAUCCGUCGUGGGCGUAGGAAAUUUGAGAGGAGCUGUCCUUAGUACGAGAGGACCGGGAUGGACAUACCUCUGGUGUACCAGUUGUCGUGCCAACGGCAUAGCUGGGUAGCUAUGUGUGGACGGGAUAAGUGCUGAAAGCAUCUAAGCAUGAAGCCCCCCUCAAGAUGAGAUUUCCCAACUUCGGUUAUAAGAUCCCUCAAAGAUGAUGAGGUUAAUAGGUUCGAGGUGGAAGCAUGGUGACAUGUGGAGCUGACGAAUACUAAUCGAUCGAAGACUUAAUCAAAA
rnacentral:rRNA from 1 species